rnacentral:lncRNA from 1 species
AGUUUGGCUUGAAAUUAAUUUCGAGUCUAAAUUUAUGCUCAAGCUCUACUUGAAAUUAAUUCGAGCCGAGCUCGAGCGAGCGUAACUUCGGGUCGAAUGAGCUCGAUCUCUAAACGAGCCGCUUGAAAUUCAUAAUAUCGUGUAAUCUAUAGUUUAAUUUUUAUAAAACAUUAUUUAAAAUUUGAUACAAAAAAUAUCUAAUAGUUCAACAUACAAAAUGAAUGUAUAAAAUACGAUAUUACAGAAUUAAAAAAAUUAGAAAAAACGACUUUGUAAAUGAGUGAAAAAGAGAGAAAGAGAGCAAUUAGAGUAGGAUUUUACUAGUUGGUUUUGUAAGCCCAAUAAUCUAAAUUCAACAUAGAUAUAAUUAAAAUACAUAAUAUAUAUUAUUUUAUAUAAUUAAAAUAUAUAUUAUAUUUAAUUAUAUAUAAUAGUUCAACUACUAUACUCUAUGAGUAUAGACCCUUUUAUACUCAUAAAUUUUCAACCGUUAGAUAUAUAUUCUUUUGAUCAUUUCCAUCUGUUAAAUCAUACUAUUCAACCAACCACCCACUCAAUCCUAGGAGACCAUUAUCAUUCUAAUUGUAUAUCCAACGACCGAAAUUUAUAAAUAUAAAAAGGUCUAUACUCAUGACAGUAUAGUAGUCCUAUCUUAUAUAUAUAUAGAGAGUUGAGCUGGAAUGCUAUCGGUAGUAAACGGGCUCCGUUACCACCCAUUUGUUCUCGAUGAUGGAGCCUUCGAAUCGACGAUCGAUACCGUUGAAUAUGAUCUAUACCACUUAAAGUAUUUAGAAACCAAAUUUCAAAUCUUUUCGAUAUCAUUGAUCUAAUGAUCAAAAGAUUUCAAAAUUUAUAAUUUUAGUGGUAAAUAUGAGAUGUUUUUACGUUUAAUGGUGUAAAGCUAUCAAAAUCAAUUGAAUUUUGGUUAAAAAAUUCGUUAAACUAUUUAGAACAAGAUCUAUACUCACGAUCAUGAUUAUAAAAUUUCUAUCAUCACUUUUUAGAGGAUAUUCAUUUUCAGCCAUUCAUUUUUACGCCCACUUGAUGGGCAAGAGAACAAUAUCAAAAAAACAUGAAAUUUGAUUUAUAGAUACUUUAAGUAAUAUAGAUUAUGUUCAACGGUGCUGAUCGUCGAUUUGGAGGCUCCAUCAUCGAAAACAAAUUGAUAGCAACAGAGCCCGUUUGCUACCGAUAGUAUUCCAGCUCAACUCUAUAUAUAUAUAUAUAUAUAUAUUAUCAUAUAAUAUAUAUAUAUAUAUAUAUAUAUAUAUAUAUAUAUAUAUAUAUAUAUAUAUAAUUAGGGAGUUGAGCUAGAAUACUCUCAAAAGCAUCAAGGGGAUGGUGCUUUUGAGUUUUUAACCAUUGGAUGGAGAGAUGUAGGGUUUAGAUGUUGAUGGUAGGUGGUGGUAGGUGAAAUAGUGUUUGAUCCAAAGGGUAUUAGUAAUUAAGGAGUAGAUCCAAGGGGUAGAAACUUAGAAGCACUAAGGGAUUGGUGCUUCUAAAAGUAUUCUAGAUCAAUUCAUAAUUAGGCUACUAUACUAUUAAUAGUACCAACCGCUUACUGUUAGAUUUUCGACCCUUGGAUGAAAGGAUGUGCGAUCAGGAUGAUAGUAGCCCUCUAAGGUUGAGUGGGUGGCUAGUUGAAUAGUAUGAUUUAACGGAUGAAAAUGGCCAAAGGGGUAGAUCUAAUGGCAGAAAACUCGAUAGCACCAAAUGCUUGGUACUAUUGAUAGUAUAAUAGCCGGACUCUAUAUAUAUAGGUAGAUCUAAUAGUAGAAAACUCGAUAGCACAAAGUGCUUCGUACUAUCUAUAGUAUAAAUAGUAUAUUAGCCGAACUAUAUAUAUAUAGAGAGAGAUAGAGAGUCCGAGUACUAUAUUAUUGAUAGUACCAAAAGCUUGAUGCUAUUGAAUUCUGUGCCGUUAGAUCUACUCCUUUGACCAUUUCCACCGUUAGAUCACACUAUUCAACUAACCAUCCACUCAACCUUAGGGAAUCACCAUCAUCCUAACUGCACAGCCCUUCAUCCAAGAGCCGAAAACCUAAUAGCAAGUGGUUGAUACUAUUAAUAGUAUAGUAGACUAAUUCUAUAUAUAUAUAUGUAUUUCGAGCUUUUCGAGCCUAAUUCGAGCGAGUCCAGUAAUACCCAAGCUCGGCAUGAAAUUAAUUUUGAGCCUAAAUUUAGGCUCAAGCUUGGCUCGAAAUUAAUUCAAGCCCAGCUCGAGAGAGUCGAAUAUCGAGCUGAACGCGAGUUGAACACGAGUCGGCUCGCUCAUUUGCCUGCCCUACUAUUCGUUUAUCGUUUUUAAUAAAAAUUAGAAUACAAUAUUUUUUUUUUUUUGAGUCCGACUACUAUAUUAUCGAUAACACGAAGGCCUCCGUGUUAUAAAGUUGUUUUCAGUGGUGCGACUUCUGAAUCGACGAUCGGCUUCCGUUAUAUUUUUCAGUUGCGAAAAAAUAUAAUGAAAAUAUAAGUACGGAACACGGUGAACCAUUCACCGUGUUCAACUUAACACCCCUUCAACUUGCGUGGCGCUGAUGUGGCGCCUGCAUGACGGGAAAAUGGUCAAAUUUGCAAUUAUAAAUUUGAUG